GUGGGGAAUUUUGGCCAAUGGGGGAAAUCUUGAUCCAGCAAUCCGGGGUGUGUGAAGAAGGCUUUGGGGUUGUAAAGCACUUUUGUCCGGAAAGAAAUCCUUGGGUGUAAUACAGUCGGGGGAUGACGGUCCCGGAAGAAUAAGCCCGGGCUAAUUAGGUGCCAGCAGCCGCGGUAAUACGUAGGGUGGGAGCGUUAAUCGGAAUUUCUGGGCGUAAAGCGUGCGCAGGCGGUUUGCUAAGACCGAUGUGAAAUCCCCGGGUUCACCUUGGGAACUGCAUUGGUGACUGGCAGGCUAGAGUAUGGCAGAGGGGGGUAGAAUUCCACGUGUAGCAGUGAAAUGUGUAGAGAUGUGGAGGAAUACCGAUGGCGAAGGCAGCCCCCUGGGCCAAUAGUGACGCUCAUGCAAGAAAGCGUGGGGAGCAAACAGGAUUAGAUCCCCUGGUAGUCCACGCCCUAAACGAUGUCAACUAGUUGUUGGGGAUUCAUUUCCUUAGUAACGUAGCUAA
rnacentral:rRNA from 1 species